rnacentral:snoRNA from 1 species
CUGCUGCUCACGUUUACACUAUAGAUGCAAGAAAAAACUGUCCUCAUGCUUUCUGGCUGUCUGACUGUGGCAGCCCAGAUUGAAUGAGGGAGUACAGGG